rnacentral:lncRNA from 1 species
UUUUUUUUUUUUGUUUUUUGUUUUUUUUUUUUUUAAGUUAAGAUUCAGCUCUAGGGCAUUUUCUUAUUUAGUGAUUGAUAGGGGAGGGCCCAGCCCAUCGUGGAUGGUGUCGUAAGCUGGUGGUCCUGGGUUCUAUAAGAAAGCAGGCUCAGCAAGCCAUAGGGAGCAAGCCAUUAAGCAACACCCCUUUGUGGCCUCUGCAUCAGCUCCUGCCUCCAGGUUCCUGCCCAGUUUGAGUUCCUGUCCUGACUUCCUUCAGUGAUGGGCUAUGGCUGUGGAAGCAAAAGCCAAAUAAACCCCUUUCUCCCUGAGUUGCUUUUGGUCAUGGGGUCUCAUCAUAGCCUUAGUAAACGUAACCCCAACUAGUUAUAAUAGUAAUUAUAACUCUGUAGUUAUAGUUAGCUUUGCAUUAGUAUAUUUAAUGCAGAAAAAUUGUGUUAUUUGUUUUUGAUAAAGGUGAGAAAUAAACUUAGGUAGAAUUAUUUAAUAGGGCUUUCUGUGAUUUGGUCUGCAGUGCAAUUUAUUAUUUAAUUACUAUAAUAAAACAUAUGUAUCCCAUUUUUAAAGACCUGGGUACACUUCGAUCACUGAGGAAUUGAUCACUGUCUUGAUGGAUGAGGCUGUCUCUGCCUGAGCCAUUGAGAAAGCCGAGCUGUCACAGGGAGUUGAGCAUUAAGCCCUGGGGUAGCUGCCCACAGUGCGUGUGGAGGAUUAGGCAGAUCUGUGUCCCUGAGAUCCCCAUAGGUCCCACCCCUGGGCUUUUCCUGCUGCAUCUCUGACCAUCCUCCUGAGCAUCCUCCUAGGGUUCUUGUCCUGCUUGGGCAAGCAAGGGCUUGGAGGUUUGAUGACUCUAGGGAGUCUCUAGGCUCCGUGCCUUACUUUGUGGUUGUCCAACAUAACCAUUUGCCCAUUUCUUACAUUUUGGAAGGACCAACUAAGAUAGGGCGUGUGCAACCAGUUGGGAGAGGCUCAUUACGUACAUAUUGCUUCCUAAAUGGAAGCUAUUAAGCCAAAUAUGAAGUGUUUGUGAAGUGCCCGCCCAGAGCUGGAAUGUGGUCAGAGGCCCAAUUCCUGGUCUUUGGGGACUGAGAGACGAAGAAGUAAAUGGAAUAUGGUAUAAGAAUUAGCUGGCGACUCAGGGCAGUUCCAUGAGCCAGCUUAUAAUCAAGUCUAGUCUCAGAAAAGCACUGCACAUGGAUGAGAGCAAGGGCCAGAGCUGGUGUGCGUGGGUGCUUCCUCAGUCCGUCCUCUUUUGCCAUCUUCCCAUAUUUUUCUAGAACUCAUAUUCUGUCCAAGCACUAGGUACCAAGAGUGCAAAUAUCGCUGUCCCCAAACGAUAGAAGACAGAUGCGCACACUGUAGUGACAGCCCCACUACAGCAGAAAGGGAGGCUUUGGAUAAUGCCAGGAGACCUUAAGAGGGGCUAAAGGUUGUGCUCUGACUGUCCCUCUUCACUGUCUCCCACCACCCUGUUCACAUGUUGAAGUAUAAUCCGCAGUGUGAAUAGUAUUGAAAGCCAGAACUUUUAUGACAGUGGUCCUUAACCUUCCCAAUGCUGCGACCCUUUAAUGUAGUUCCUUGUGUUGUGGUGACCCCCAACCAUAAAAUUAUUUUUGUUGCUACUUCCUAACUGUAACUUUGCUUCUGUUAUGAAUUGUAAAGUAAAUAUCUGACAUGCAGGGUAUCUGUUAGGCGAUCCCUGUGAAGAGGUCAUUCGAUCCACAAACGGUUGUGAUCCACACAGGUUGAGAACCAUUGUGUUAGGAGGUCAUCAGGCCGGCAAUGGGGAAGUGGAGUAAGAAAGAACUAAAUGCACAGGCCAGGAGUAUGUGGCUUGAUGUAGGGAAAGGGUAAUGUAUGUGGGUGUCUCCUGUGGGCAUCAUAGACAUAUAUCAGUGCUUACAGCUCCUGAAAUGUAAGAGUUGAAGUUUAAAUUAUUCAAAUUAUUAUUAUUUUUAAAAAGAUUUGUUUAUUUAUUAUAUAUGAGUACACUGUAGCUGUCUUCAGACACACCAGAAGAGGGCAUCAGAUCCUAUUACAGAUGGUUGUGAGCCACCAUGUGAUUGCUGGGAAUUGAACUUGGGACUUCUGGAAGAGUAGUCAGUGCUCUUAACUGCUGAGCCAGCCCCAAUUAUUUAAUUUAUUAAGUUUUGUUUUUCCUUUGAGGCUCUGGAGAACAAACUCAUGGUCUCUACGAAGCUCCAUCAGCACUGAGCUACACCCCCAGCUCCCAUGUCUGUAACUUUUAUGUGCCAACAACUCAAAAUCAUGUUUCAUUGUUUUGCCACAUGGACACUUAAGGCCCCCCUUCCCAAGUUUUGUUUAGUGGGACACAAGGUGACCACAGCUUAGGCAACAUGAAAGGCUAGCGCUUUGUUGACCCAAGGAAAUAGUCAUCAAAAUAUCGGGAUUAUUUACCUGUGCUUGGAGCACUGACCCUGUUUUAGCUUGUAAGAAUGGGGUGUUUUAGGGUGUACAUUCAGUCCAUAUGUUCAAUGCAAGGAGCAUAGAGAGAUGUUUCUUUCACUGGCUUCAUGGAAUAUGCCUCAUGGGAAAGAUGCAAGAGAAUGGGACACUUGUGGGUAUUCACGCUCAAGACAAGUGUGGCGGGAGACAGUCUAGCAUUGGGGAUGUUGAAGGGGCAAAAUAUUCCCGGGAUAGACCAGGCAUGGAGGGGUCCAUGCAGGUUUUAUAGUUGAUAAACACCACAGGUGAAAGAUGGGCCAAUUCUCAAAGGCCCACAGGGUGAGGAAUUUUGUUGGAAGACUAACCAAGGACAAGGGGCAUAUGUUCAGUCAACAUCAACCAUAGCUGGCAGGCCAUUGUUCAUAUUGUGUCAUGGUGCGGGGCCACAGAAACACAGGACUGGCUCUGAUGUGGCUCUUCCAAUCGCCCCCCACACCCCGAAAACCAUACAUAUCAAGACUGACC